rnacentral:rRNA from 1 species
UAAAGCUCCGGCGCCUGAGGAUGGGUCUGCGGCCUAUCAGGUAGUAGUGGGUGUAGCGUACCUACUAGCCUACGACGGGUAAGGGUUGUGAGAGCAAGAGCCCGGAGAUGGAUUCUGAGACACGAAUCCAGGCCCUACGGGGUGCAGCAGGCGCGAAAACUUUACAAUGCUGGCAACAGCGAUAAGGGAACCUCGAGUGCCAGGUUACAAAUCUGGCUGUCGAGAUGCCUAAAAAGCAUUUCAUAGCAAGGGCCGGGCAAGACCGGUGCCAGACGA